CCCGUAGCUCAGUUGGUU
rnacentral:siRNA from 1 species